CCACCACAUGAAAAGCUAAGGGCAGCUUAAACCAGCACAAACUAGCAAACCAGCAUAUGCUUUUUUUCAACAGACGCAACGUCACCUCAUCAGUAACCGGAUCUACCACCCUGCCAACCCACCACUCAACAGCAUGAAGCUUCCCGACUUGUUAAAACAAAGAAGACAUUCCAAACACAAAAGAAGAUAUUUUAAAGAAUGUCGGUAACCAAACCACAUUGGUCCCCAUUGACUUCUGUACAUGGACACAAAAUCACUGUCACAUCACAAAAGAUCUUCUUGUGACGGUUAAUAAAUGAUGAAAUAAUUUUUAGGUUAAUAGCAAUAAUUCUUUCAAUAAUAAUAACAAAUCUUUGCAUCUUGCAAGCUCCCACUGUGGUACCGUGGAAAAAUCUGUCACCCC